rnacentral:rRNA from 1 species
GACGAACGCUGGCGGCGUGCUUAACACAUGCAAGUCGAACGGAAAGGCCCUGCUUUUGUGGGCUGCUCGAGUGGCGAACGGGUGAGUAACACGUGAGUAACCUGCCCUUGACUUUGGGAUAACUUCAGGAAACUGGGGCUAAUACCGGAUAGGAGCUCCUGCUGCAUGGUGGGGGUUGGAAAGUUUCGGCGGUUGGGGAUGGACUCGCGGCUUAUCAGCUUGUUGGUGGGGUAGUGGCUUACCAAGGCUUUGACGGGUAGCCGGCCUGAGAGGGUGACCGGCCACAUUGGGACUGAGAUACGGCCCAGACUCCUACGGGAGGCAGCAGUGGGGAAUAUUGCACAAUGGGCGGAAGCCUGAUGCAGCAACGCCGCGUGCGGGAUGACGGCCUUCGGGUUGUAAACCGCUUUCGCCAGUGACGAAGCGUGAGUGACGGUAAUGGGUAAAGAAGCACCGGCUAACUACGUG